GGGGUUGUAGCUCAGUGGUAGAGCACUUUCCUAGUAUGGUUGAGGCACCAGCUCAAUCUUCAACACCA
rnacentral:tRNA from 1 species